GACGAACGCUGGCGGCGCGCUUAACACAUGCAAGUCGAACGGAAAGGCCUGCUUUCCCUUGUGGAUUGCGGGUACUCGAGUGGCGAACGGGUGAGUAACACGUGAGUGAUCUGCCCCCAACUUGGGUAUAAGCCUGGGAAACUGGGUCUAAUUCCCGAUAGGACUGCAGGGUGGUGCCUGUGGUUGAAAACGAUUUUCUAGUGGUUGGGGAUGAGCUCGCGGCCUAUCAGCUUGUUGGUGGGGUAAUGGCCUACCAAGGCGGCGACGGGUAGCCGGCCUGAGAGGGUGGACGGCCACAUUGGGACUGAGAUACGGCCCAGACUACUACGGGAGGCAGCAGUGGGGAAUAUUGCACAAUGGGCGGAAGCCUGAUGCAGCGACGCCGCGUGGGGGAUGACGGCCUUCGGGUUGUAAACUCCUUUCGACCGCGAGGAAGCCACCUGGUUGGAAGGGUGGUGACGGUAGUGGGAGAAGAAGCACCGGCUAACUACGUG
rnacentral:rRNA from 1 species